rnacentral:rRNA from 1 species
CAGCAGCCGCGGGAAUACGAAGGGUGCAAGCGUUAAUCGGAAUUACUGGGCGUAAAGCGUGCGUAGGCGGUUUGUUAAGUCUGUUGUGAAAUCCCCGGGCUCAACCUGGGAAUGGCAAUGGAUACUGGCAAGCUAGAGUGUGUCAGAGGAUGGUGGAAUUCCCGGUGUAGCGGUGAAAUGCGUAGAGAUCGGGAGGAACAUCAGUGGCGAAGGCGGCCAUCUGGGACAACACUGACGCUGAGGCACGAAAGCGUGGGGAGCAAACGGGAUUAGAUACCCGAGUAGUCCCUGUCUCUUAUAC